CACGCGCGCUCUUUCUCUGCGGCCAUCAUGGGAUCACGUUCCCCUCCAUUCCGGAGCUGGUGCCUUUGCCGUGGCCGGCUGUUGGCGGUCCGGAGCGAUGCUGAGUCUGGGCCCAGCCUCUCAGAUCCGCCGUGGACGCCGCACAGAUCUAGGGGAGCCUGACGGGACAUUGACAACGUGGAAUAGGAGCAAUAUCCCACCGUGAGGGUGUCCUUUUCAAGUUCUGAGAACUGACUGCAAGACUGCAGAUUGUGUUGUUGGCACCAGCAGAGGAGGCUAUGUUCCAGAGGAGUCUCCAGCCAUCCUGAAAGCUAGCAUCCCAAGUAAUGUCUGCCAAUUUUGUUCUGGAUGGGUACAUUUGGUAAUCCUGUCUACCACAUGGUCUUCUGCACCUUUUAAUAAACGUGUUUAUAAAACUGCCA